AACCUUUAGCCAAACAAAUAUUAAAGGCAACGCCUGCCCAGUGAACAAUUAAACGGCCGCGGUACCCUAACCGUGCAAAGGUAGCGUAAUCAUUUGUCUAUUAAUUGUGGACCAGUAUGAAAGGCAAAAUGAGGGCCCAACUGUCUCUUAUAGUACAUCAAUCAAACUGAUCUCCCAGUACAAAAGCUGGGAUACCCACAUAAGACCAGAAGACCCCGUGAAGCUUAAACUAACCUAUUAAACCACGUAAUAGCUCCUUUCGGUUGGGGCGACCUUGGAAAGAAAAAGAACUUCCAACACACUAUGACUCACUCAUACCCUAGGCCAACUAGCCAAACUAUGACCCAGUAUAGCUGAUAAAAGAACCAAGUUACUCCGGGGAUAACAGCGCUAUCUUCUUCAAGAGCCCAUAUCAAAAAGAAGGUUUACGACCUCGAUGUUGGAUCAGGACAUCCUAAUGGUGAAGCCGCUAUUAAGGGUUCGUUCGUUCAACGAUUAAUAGUCCC
rnacentral:rRNA from 1 species